AUCCUGGCUCAGAUUGAACGCUGGCGGCAGGCCUAACACAUGCAAGUCGAACGGUAACAGGAAGAAGCUUGCUUCUUUGCUGACGAGUGGCGGACGGGUGAGUAAUGUCUGGGAAACUGCCUGAUGGAGGGGGAUAACUACUGGAAACGGUAGCUAAUACCGCAUAACGUCGCAAGACCAAAGAGGGGGACCUUCGGGCCUCUUGCCAUCGGAUGUGCCCAGAUGGGAUUAGCUAGUAGGUGGGGUAACGGCUCACCUAGGCGACGAUCCCUAGCUGGUCUGAGAGGAUGACCAGCCACACUGGAACUGAGACACGGUCCAGACUCCUACGGGAGGCAGCAGUGGGGAAUAUUGCACAAUGGGCGCAAGCCUGAUGCAGCCAUGCCGCGUGUAUGAAGAAGGCCUUCGGGUUGUAAAGUACUUUCAGCGGGGAGGAAGGGAGUAAAGUUAAUACCUUUGCUCAUUGACGUUACCCGCAGAAGAAGCACCGGCUAACUCCGUGCCAGCAGCCGCGGUAAUACGGAGGGUGCAAGCGUUAAUCGGAAUUACUGGGCGUAAAGCGCACGCAGGCGGUUUGUUAAGUCAGAUGUGAAAUCCCCGGGCUCAACCUGGGAACUGCAUCUGAUACUGGCAAGCUUGAGUCUCGUAGAGGGGGGUAGAAUUCCAGGUGUAGCGGUGAAAUGCGUAGAGAUCUGGAGGAAUACCGGUGGCGAAGGCGGCCCCCUGGACGAAGACUGACGCUCAGGUGCGAAAGCGUGGGGAGCAAACAGGAUUAGAUACCCUGGUAGUCCACGCCGUAAACGAUGUCGACUUGGAGGUUGUGCCCUUGAGGCGUGGCUUCCGGAGCUAACGCGUUAAGUCGACCGCCUGGGGAGUACGGCCGCAAGGUUAAAACUCAAAUGAAUUGACGGGGGCCCGCACAAGCGGUGGAGCAUGUGGUUUAAUUCGAUGCAACGCGAAGAACCUUACCUGGUCUUGACAUCCACGGAAGUUUUCAGAGAUGAGAAUGUGCCUUCGGGAACCGUGAGACAGGUGCUGCAUGGCUGUCGUCAGCUCGUGUUGUGAAAUGUUGGGUUAAGUCCCGCAACGAGCGCAACCCUUGAUCUUAGUUGCCAGCAUUCAGUUGGGCACUCUAAGGUGACUGCCGGUGACAAACCGGAGGAAGGUGGGGAUGACGUCAAAUCAUCAUGCCCCUUAUGACCUGGGCUACACACGUGCUACAAUGGACAGAACAAAGGGCAGCGAAACCGCGAGGUUAAGCCAAUCCCACAAAUCUGUUCUCAGUUCGGAUCGCAGUCUGCAACUCGACUGCGUGAAGUCGGAAUCGCUAGUAAUCGUGGAUCAGAAUGCCACGGUGAAUACGUUCCCGGGCCUUGUACACACCGCCCGUCACACCACGAGAGUUUGUAACACCCGAAGUCGGUGAGGUAACCUU
rnacentral:rRNA from 1 species